rnacentral:rRNA from 1 species
CAGAGACUGCGAGCGUUAUUCGGAUUCACUGGGCGUAAAGGGUGCGCAGGCGGCCAAGUGUGUGAGGCGUGAAAGCCCGGGGCUUAACCCCGGAAUUGCACCUCAAACUACAUGGCUAGAGCAUUGGAGAGGGUAGCAGAAUUCAUGGUGUAGCAGUGAAAUGCGUAGAUAUCAUGAGGAAUACCAGAGGCGAAGGCGGCUACCUGGACAAUUGCUGACGCUCAGGCACGAAAGCGUGGGGAGCAAAAGGGAUUAGAUACCCCUGUAGUCCACGCCCUAAACGGUGCACACUAGGUCUUGGCGGAUUCGACCCCCCCAGGGCCCAAGCUAACGCGUUAAGUGUGCCGCCUGAGGACUACGGCCGCAAGGCUA